rnacentral:tRNA from 1 species
GGCCGGUUAGCUCAGCUGGUUAGAGCGUGGUGCUAAUAAGGCCAAGGUCAUGGGUUCGACCCCCAUACUGGCCA